AUACGAAGGGAGCUAGCGUUGUUCGGAAUUACUGGGCGUAAAGCGCACGUAGGCGGAUUUGUUAGUCAGGGGUGAAAUCCCGGGGCCCAACCUCGGAACUGCCUUUGAUACUGCAAGUCUGGAGUCCGGAAGAGGUGGGUGGAAUUCCUAGUGUAGAGGUGAAAUUCGUAGAUAUUAGGAAGAACACCGGUGGCGAAGGCGGCCCACUGGUCCGGUACUGACGCUGAGGUGCGAAAGCGUGGGGAGCAAACAGGAUUAGAUACCCCAGUAGUCC
rnacentral:rRNA from 1 species